rnacentral:lncRNA from 1 species
AGAAGAUGAAAGUGACGUAACAGGAGGUGGAGUGCCAGUAACAGGGGAGGUGCAGUAACUGGGAGGUGACGUAACAUGGGAGGUGACAGUAGCAUGAGAGGUGCAAGUAACAUGGAGGUGACAGUAACAUGGGAGGUGACAGUAACAUGGGAGGUGCAGUACAUGAGAGGGUGACAGUAACAUGGGAGGGUACAGUAACAUGGGAGGUGACA